GUGACAUCAACCUUUGGCACAAUGACAACCAUGUCCAGGUUUCAAUUUACAGAGCAACGCAAUGGACAAUACAAUGGUCUCUGGAGAUAUGGUGAUAAGAGGUCAGGACCUGAAACCAAACCUGCCUGCAUAGAGUUUCUUGCAUAGAUCAUGCCUAUUCAGCUCGUUUGACAAGGACUAAUGACGGCGGUCCAUCUACAUACAUGCUUACAGCUGUCUACCAUCCUCAUCCAGGUAAUGAUUGUGUUAUUAACCCUAAACCCUUUUUCAAAUUGUUAUUAACUGCUAUGGGAGAGAAUGUCUCCGCUCACCUGUCACCAAAGCAGCGCUGAGGAGGGUUUGAUCCCGGCUGGCUAUCAGUCAUUGUCAAAGACAGAGCUACAGAGGGAUCACAUAGACCCCGAUGAAUUGUCUUUUUGAAUACACUUUGGUGAAAUAAUGUUUUCAGUCAUUGUUUGUCAUACCAACAAUUAAUACCCAAGUCAUCAAAAUGCUUCAACUGUUACUUCCUUAUGACCUUUUCCUCAAUGAUAAGAUGUUUUUCUGGUUUGCAGCAGGGCUGAAAAUCAUGUUCAUACAGAAUUAAACUAGAAAACAUGCAAAAAUGGAUGACAGGUGUUUUUCACAAAGCACAAGCAAAUUAAAUCUGUUCAGAAGGAAUAAUGGGUUCUGGUAAUCACAAGAAGUAUUCUAGCCUAGUUCACCAGCAAAAGGAAAUAAUAACUCUUAGUUGUGGGUUCAGAAUUAAGUGCUAAUUUAGUUUGAAAAGUAAACAGUUAAUACCACCAUCUUGUUUUCUGUCCUUGUUUUUUCAACUAUUGGAAACUGUUAAAGACUGAUAUUCUUCCAUCUUGUAAAACAUCUAGCUCAGACCUCACUAUCUCAGAACAUUUGAAAAAUAUUUUGGUACUAAAGUCCGAAAAGAAAACCUCCUGUGAUUUUAACUUUUGAGGUACACACAGAUGUGGACCAACAAAAAAGACAGACAUCCCUCCAUUGCCUGUUUAUAUGAGCCCCAUAGAGAAUACAUAGACUCCUUCUGUUUUCAGUGACAGUUAUUUCUUCCUCAAACAGACACCCAAUGUGACUCAUACCACUUUAGUGUGGCAGAACUGCAGAAAAAGUCAGUGUGGCAACUGCUACAAUAACACACAAUUAUUGUGACAUAAUUUGCCACCUCAUGUAUAGAGCACUUUUUCCACAUGCAUACUGUACAUACAUACACACAGUAUCUGACACACUUUCUCAUUCAAGCGAAUGGGAAGGUGUGUCCAAACUUUUGACUGGUACUACACAUACAUACAUAUUAUUUUUCUCAUAUUUCUCAGAUCCUGUUCUGUUGUGUUGAGUGUGAUUGUUGUUAAUCAAUGUGUUUUUAUGUCACUUUGUGACACCUAUUGUAAAAGAGAUAAUGCAUCUAAAGAGACUCCCUAGUUAAAUAAAGGUACAAACAUUUUUUGAAAAACUUUUCCUUUCUAACUUCAGUGAAAAAAGUCUCAGCUGAGUCUUCAGGCCAUGUAUGAAACAUACACCUUUACAGGAAAUAUUGAAGAUAUAUUGAAGCUAAGGAGCUUUUUAAAAGAGUUUCUCAAAAUCAAGAAUUUCAUUGAAAUAUAGAACAAGCUACUGGCUAAACACUGUACAGAUCACGGUUGCAUCAAAAGUACAAUAACAAUAUGAACAAAUAUGACAUUGUGCAUCUAUUUUCAUGAUUAACUGAUUGAUGAGUUAUGUUUAUCAGACACCAGGAAACAGUGAAUGUGUGUAUUUACUGUGAAAUGUCAGAGAAAUAGAC